rnacentral:rRNA from 1 species
CCCUUCCGGGGGGGCCGCGGUGGGAAAUUUUGCGCAAUGGGGGAAAGCCUGACCCUCCAACCCCGCGUGGGGGAAGAAGAGCCUUCGGGUUGUAAACCUCUUUCAGGCGGGAAAAAUACACUGGGGUUAAUACCCCGGAGGAUGACGGUACCUCCAGAAGAAGCCCCGGCUAACUAUGUCCCAGCACCCGCGGUAAUACGUAGGGGGCAAGCGUUUUUCGGAUUUAUUGGGUGUAAAGAGCGUGUGGGCGGCCAGCUAAGUCUGUUGUGAAAACCCCCGGCUCAACCUCGGAAAUCCGCUGGAAACUGUCUGGCUAGAGUCCGGAAGAGGGGAGUGGAAUUCCUGGUGUAGCGGUGAAAUGCGCAGAUAUCUGGAGGAACACCGGUGGGGAAGGCGGCUUUCUGGGCCGCUACUGACGCUGAGACGCGAAAGCGUGGGGAGCGAACGGGAUUAGAUACCCCGGUAGUCCUCGCCCUAAACGAUGGAUGCUAGGUGUGGGAGGAU